rnacentral:rRNA from 1 species
AUUAGAUGAGCCUAUAUUAGAUUAGCUAGUUGGUGGAGUAAUAGCCUACCAAGGCAAUGAUCUAUAGCUGAUCUGAGAGGAUGAUCAGCCACACUGGAACUGAGAUACGGUCCAGACUCCUACGGGAGGCAGCAGUGGGGAAUAUUGGACAAUGGGCGAGAGCCUGAUCCAGCUAUGCCGCAUGAGUGAAGAAGGCCUUUGGGUUGUAAAGCUCUUUUAGUGAGGAAGAUAAUGACGGUACUCACAGAAGAAGUCCUGGCUAACUCCGUGCCAGCAGCCGCGGUAAUACGGAGAGGGCUAGCGUUAUUCGGAAUUAUUGGGCGUAAAGGGCGCGUAGGCUGAUUAAUAAGUUAAAAGUGAAAUCCCGAGGCUUAACCUUGGAAUUGCUUUUAAAACUAUUAAUCUAGAGAUUGAAAGAGGAUAGAGGAAUUCCUGAUGUAGAGGUAAAAUUCGUAAAUAUUAGGAGGAACACCAGUGGCGAAGGCGUCUAUCUGGUUCAAAUCUGACGCUGAGGCGCGAAGGCGUGGGGAGCAAACAGGAUUAGAUACCCUGGUAGUCCACGCUAUAAACGAUGAAUGUUAAAUAUGGGAAGUUUA